GGGUUGUGAGGUUAAGCGACUAAGCGUACACGGUGGAUGCCCUGGCAGUCAGAGGCGAUGAAGGACGUGCUAAUCUGCGAUAAGCGUCGGUGAGGUGAUAUGAACCGUUAUAACCGGCGAUUUCCGAAUGGGGAAACCCAGUGUGUUUCGACACACUAUCAUUAACUGAAUCCAUAGGUUAAUGAGGCGAACCGGGGGAACUGAAACAUCUAAGUACCCCGAGGAAAAGAAAUCAACCGAGAUUCCCCCAGUAGCGGCGAGCGAACGGGGAGGAGCCCAGAGUCUGAAUCAGUGUGUGUGUUAGUGGAAGCGUCUGGAAAGGCGUGCGAUACAGGGUGACAGCCCCGUACACAAAAAUGCACAUAUUGUGAGCUCGAUGAGUAGGGCGGGACACGUGGUAUCCUGUCUGAAUAUGGGGGGACCAUCCUCCAAGGCUAAAUACUCCUGACUGACCGAUAGUGAACCAGUACCGUGAGGGAAAGGCGAAAAGAACCCCGGCGAGGGGAGUGAAAAAGAACCUGAAACCGUGUACGUACAAGCAGUGGGAGCCUCUUAAUGGGGUGACUGCGUACCUUUUGUAUAAUGGGUCAGCGACUUAUAUUCUGUAGCAAGGUUAACCGAAUAGGGGAGCCG
rnacentral:rRNA from 1 species